UUAGCACUCCCCUUGAUAAGGAUGGAAGAGGUCCUAGUGACUUACAACACACAUAUGGUUAAGGCAUUGCCACUUACUUUGUGGCAUCUAAUACUGUUAGUGU